UCCCUACAAUGCGCGCAUACUUUAGGUUGAUUCUUAUGUGUUAAUGAAUUUCAGACUUAAGUAUGAUGUUGUGUUUGCAUAUAGUUCGGGCAACCGAACGGGAGUAACCUCUUGUUACUCUUCUUACUUCCUGUAUAU
rnacentral:sRNA from 1 species